rnacentral:lncRNA from 1 species
CACUAGCCUUAACUUCCCAGCCCUCCACAAGCUUCCCAACUGCUUGAAAAUACAAGCUUUCUGCCACUCUUCUUGCAAGUUAAACCUCCCCUGCAUCAAAAUAAGCAAAGGUCAAACAUGCUUAUAAUUUCAUCUUGCGGCUCAACAAAACAUAUAUAUACAAACCUGAAUUUCUUCCCACAUUGUUGCUUUAGUCGCUGCAUCAAGUUUUCUCCAAUCAGAAAGUGUUACCGGAACAUGUUCCCUCACAAGAGGACCAAGAAAAGAUGACAAUGUAACUGAACCAGGUCCAACAUGAUCACCAAAGUCAUUGAAUGUGACCGCAACCUUUUUAUUAGGAUUUUCAGCCACUCUACGCAUCUUUGUUGGUCCUCUUCUAUUUUUUUCUUUCACUUCAUCCGCUGGUAGCUGAACUCCGUCAGUACUAGGAAUCUCAUCAUCUUGAGCAUUGAUAACUUCAUCUUCUUCCAUAUUGAGAGCUUCUUCUUUGUUUCCUUUCUCAUUGUCGUCAUUCUCAUUCUCUAUGUCUUCCUCUUGCUCAUGUCCAGUCAAACAUGCUUCUCCGUCUUUCUCAGAAUCUUCUUUAUCAUCUUCCUUAUCUUCCCCCGCAACAUCAUCAUCUUCCGGUGUUACAUCUUCUAUCUCAUCAUCUUCAGGUGUCACAGCUUGUACCUCAUCAUCUUCAACAGCCAAAUUCUUGAUUCUACUACUUCUUCUCGUUGGCGUUAGAGCUAAAUUCUUUUUUGGGGAAGCCACUUUCUUUGUUGAUCUUUUAUUCACCUUAAGUGUUGU